GACGAACGCUGGCGGCGUGCUUAACACAUGCAAGUCGAACGGAAAGGCCCUGCUUUUGUGGGGUGCUCGAGUGGCGAACGGGUGAGUAACACGUGAGUAACCUGCCCUUGACUUUGGGAUAACUUCAGGAAACUGGGGCUAAUACCGGAUAGGAGAUCCUGCUGCAUGGUGGGGGUUGGAAAGUUUCGGCGGUUGGGGAUGGACUCGCGGCUUAUCAGCUUGUUGGUGGGGUAGUGGCUUUCAAAGGCUUUGACGGGUAGCCGGCCUGAGCGGGUGACCGGCCACAUUGGGACUGAGAUACGGCACAGACUCCUACGGGAGGCAGCAGUGGGGAAGAUUGCACGAUGGGCGGAGGCCUGAUGCAGCAACGCCGCGUGCGGGAUGACGGCCUUCGGGUUGUAAACCGCUUUCGCCUGUGACGAAGCGUGAGUGACGGUAAUGGGUAAAGAAGCACCGGCUAACUACGUG
rnacentral:rRNA from 1 species